rnacentral:rRNA from 1 species
ACCCUUGUCUUUUGCGCACUUGUUGUUUCCUGGGCGGGUUCGCCCGCCGCCAGGACCACACCAUAAACCUUUUUUUAUGCAGUUGCAAUCAGCGUCAGUACAACAAAUGUAAAUCAUUUACAACUUUCAACAACGGAUCUCUUGGUUCUGGCAUCGAUGAAGAACGCAGCGAAAUGCGAUACGUAGUGUGAAUUGCAGAAUUCAGUGAAUCAUCGAAUCUUUGAACGCACAUUGCGCCCUUUGGUAUUCCAAAGGGCAUGCCUGUUCGAGCGUCAUUUGUACCCUCAAGCUUUGCUUGGUGUUGGGCGUCUUGUCUUUUGGCUCUUUGCCCAAAGACUCGCCUUAAAACGAUUGGCAGCCGGCCUACUGGUUUCGCAGCGCAGCACAUUUUUGCGCUUGCAAUCAGCAAAAGAGGACGGCACUCCAUCAAGACUCCUUCUCACGUUUGACCUCGGAUCAGGUAG